rnacentral:rRNA from 1 species
UACGAACCGUCCAAACGUUACUCGGAAUUACUGGGCUUAAAGGGUGCGUAGGCCGCGCGGCGGGUGGGAUGUGAAAUCCCCCGGCUCAACCGGGGAAUAGCGUCCCAAACCGCCGUGCUCGAGGGAGACAGAGGUGAGCGGAACUGAUGGUGGAGCGGUGAAAUGCGUUGAUAUCAUCAGGAACACCAGUGGCGAAGGCGGCUCACUGGGUCUUUCCUAACGCUGAGGCACGAAAGCUAGGGGAGCGAACGGG